rnacentral:sRNA from 12 species
GAACCACUCCGUCAGGGAGUCAAGGCCAUACGGACAGCCGGGUUCACUGCCGA